rnacentral:rRNA from 1 species
UAAAUACUAAUACCAGAUCGAUAGUGCACAAGUACCGUGAGGGAAAGGUGAAAAGAACUGAGGUGAUCAGAGUGAAAUAGAACCUGAAACCAUUUGCUUACAAUCAUUCAGAGCCCUAUGUAGCAAUACAGGGUGAUGGACUGCCUUUUGCAUAAUGAGCCUGCGAGUUGUGGUGUCUGGCAAGGUUAAGCAAACGCGAAGCCGUAGCGAAAGCGAGUCUGAAUAGGGCGCUUAGUCAGAUGCUGCAGACCCGAAACGAAGUGAUCUAUCCAUGAGCAAGUUGAAGCUAGUGUAAGAACUAGUGGAGGACUGAACCCAUAGGCGUUGAAAAGCCCCGGGAUGACUUGUGGAUAGGGGUGAAAGGCCAAUCAAACUUCGUGAUAGCUGGUUCUCUCCGAAAUAUAUUUAGGUAUAGCGUUGUGUCGUAAUAUAAGGGGGUAGAGCACUGAAUGGGCUAGGGCAUACACCAAUGUACCAAACCCUAUCAAACUCCGAAUACCUUAUAUGUAAUCACAGCAGUCAGGCGGCGAGUGAUAAAAUCCGUCGUCAAGAGGGAAACAACCCAGACUACCAGCUAAGGUCCCUAAAUCUUACUUAAGUGGAAAACGAUGUGAAGUUACUUAAACAACCAGGAGGUUGGCUUAGAAGCAGCCAUCCUUUAAAGAAAGCGUAAUAGCUCACUGGUCUAGUGAUUUUGCGCGGAAAAUAUAACGGGGCUAAAGUAAGUACCGAAGCU